UCAAGCGCGAAAAGGGCGUUUGGUGAAUGCCUUGGCAGUAAGAGGCGAUGAAGGACGUGAUACUCUGCGAUAAGUUAUGGGGAGCUGAGAAUAAGCUUUGAUCCAUAAAUUUCCGAAUGGGGCAACCCACCUGAUAUUUUGUUAUUGUUGCACUUCGGUGCAUUCAAUAAUGAGGUAAACCAGGUAUUUAUAACUUGAAUACAUAGGGUUAUAAAAGCAAACCCGGGGAACUGAAACAUCUAAGUACCCGGAGGAAAGGACAUCAAUUAGAUACUCCCCUAGUAGCGGCGAGCGAACGGGGAUCAGCCGAGCCAUGAAUGUGACUAGAAUGUGUUGGAAAGCACAACCGUAGUGGGUGACAGUCCCGUAUAGGAAGCAUGAUUGGACGUAUUAAGUAGGGCGGGACACGUGAAAUCCUGUUCGAAGAUCGGAGGACCACCUCCGAAGGCUAAGUACUCCUUACUGACCGAUAGUGAACCAGUACCGUGAGGGAAAGGUGAAAAGCACCCCGACGAGGGGAGUGAAACAGUUUCUGAAACCGGACGCCUACAAUCAGUCGGAGGCCCCUUGAGGGCUGACGGCGUACCUUUUGUAUAAUGGGUCAUCGACUUAGUGUAUCUAGCAAGCUUAAGCCGUUAGGUGUAGGCGCAGCGAAAGCGAGUCUUAAUAGGGCGAUUGAGUUAGAUGCAUUAGACCCGAAACCGAGUGAUCUAGGCAUGGCCAGGUUGAAGGUAAGGUAACACUUACUGGAGGACCGAACCCACAUCCGUUGAAAAGGAUCGGGAUGAGCUGUGCCUAGGGGUGAAAGGCCAAUCAAACUCGGAGAUAGCUGGUUCUCCGCGAAAUCUAUUUAGGUAGAGCGUCAUCCGAAUACCCCGGGGGGUAGAGCACUGGAUGGGUAAUGGGGCCCCACAGGCUUACUGAUCCUAACCAAACUCCGAAUACCCGGGAGUAAUAGAUGGCAGACACACUGCGGGUGCUAACGCCCGUAGUGAAAAGGGAAACAACCCUGACCGACAGUUAAGGCCCCUAAUUCAUGGCUAAGUGGAAAAGCAGGUGAGACGACCAUAACAACCAGGAAGUUGGCUUAGAAGCAGCCAUCUUUUAAAGAUAGCGUAACAGCUCACUGGUCUAAUUAAGUUGUCUUGCGGCGAAAAUGUAACGGGGCUCAAGCCAUGAGCCGAAACUUCGGAUGCAUUUAUGCAUGGUAGCGGAGCGUAGUGUGACAUAGUUCCAUGCGUCUUUAACUUCCUUCGGGGAGUAUUGGACGCAAGGAGCUUUCUGUGAAGCCGGCCUGUGAGGGAUCCGGUGGAGAGAUCACUAGUGAGAAUGAUGACAUGAGUAACGACAAAGGGGGUGAGAGACCCCCUCGCCGAAAAUCCAAGGGUUCCUGCUUAAAGCUAAUCUGAGCAGGGUGAGCCGGCCCCUAAGCCGAGGGCGAAAGCCGUAGGCGAUGGGAACCAGGUUAAUAUUCCUGGGCCAGGAGGAAGUGACGGAUCAUGAAGAUUGUUGGAUCAGGCGUAGUUGCCCCAGCAGUUAAUUGGUUCCUGGAAAUAGCCCUCCAUCAGACCGUACCCUAAACCGACACAGGUGGAUAGGUAGAGUAUACCAAGGCGCUUGAGAGAACUAUGUUGAAGGAACUCGGCAAAAUACCUCCGUAAGUUCGCGAGAAGGAGGCCCGGUUUCUAGGCAACUGGAAGCUGGGGGCACAAACCAGGGGGUGGCGACUGUUUACUAAAAACACAGGGCUCUGCGAAGUCGUAAGACGACGUAUAGGGUCUGACGCCUGCCCGGUGCCUGAAGGUUAAAAGGAGGGGUGAGAGCUCCGAAUUGAAGCCCAGGUAAACGGCGGCCGUAACUAUAACGGUCCUAAGGUAGCGAAAUUCCUUGUCGGGUAAGUUCCGACCUGCACGAAUGGCGUAACGACUUCCCCGCUGUCUCCAACAUAGACUCA
rnacentral:rRNA from 2 species